rnacentral:rRNA from 1 species
GUGGGGAAUAUUGGACAAUGGGCGCAAGCCUGAUCCAGCCAUGCCGCGUGAGUGAUGAAGGCCUUAGGGUUGUAAAGCUCUUUCACCGAUGAAGAUAAUGACGGUAGUCGGAGAAGAAGCCCCGGCUAACUUCGUGCCAGCAGCCGCGGUAAUACGAAGGGGGCUAGCGUUGUUCGGAUUUACUGGGCGUAAAGCGCACGUAGGCGGUUUGUUAAGUCAGGGGUGAAAUCCCGGAGCUCAACUCCGGAACUGCCUUUGAUACUGGCGAGCUAGAGUCCGGAAGAGGUAAGUGGAACUCCUAGUGUAGAGGUGGAAUUCGUAGAUAUUAGGAAGAACACCAGUGGCGAAGGCGGCUUACUGGUCCGGAACUGACGCUGAGGUGCGAAAGCGUGGGGAGCAAACAGGAUUAGAAACCCGGGUAGUCC